UGGGGGAUAUUGCACAAUGGGCGAAAGCCUGAUGCAGCGACGCCGCGUGGGGGAUGAAGGCUUUCGGGUUGUAAACCUCUUUCGCUAUCGAACAAGGCCCGCUUAGGGUGGGUUGAGGGUAGGUGGAGAAGAAGCGCCGGCUAACUACGUGCCAGCAGCCGCGGUAAUACGGAGGGCGCGAGCGUUGUCCGGUAUUAUUGGGCGUAAAGGGCUUGUAGGCGGCUUGUUGCGCCUGCUGUGAAAACGCGGGGCUUAACUUCGCGCGUGCAGUGGGUACGGGAAGGCUGGAGUGUGGUAGGGGUGACUGGAAUUCCAGGUGUAGCGGUGGAAUGCGCAGAUAUCUGGAGGAACACCGAUGGCGAAGGCAGGUCACUGGGCCAUUACUGACGCUGAGGAGCGAAAGCAUGGGUAGCGAACAGG
rnacentral:rRNA from 1 species